UACGAAGGGGCUAGCGUUGCUCGGAAUCACUGGGCGUAAAGGGUGCGUAGGCGGGUCUUUAAGUCAGGGGUGAAAUCCUGGAGCUCAACUCCAGAACUGCCUUUGAUACUGAGGAUCUUGAGUUCGGGAGAGGUGAGUGGAACUGCGAGUGUAGAGGUGAAAUUCGUAGAUAUUCGCAAGAACACCAGUGGCGAAGGCGGCUCACUGGCCCGAUACUGACGCUGAGGCACGAAAGCGUGGGGAUCAAACAGGAGUUAGAUGACCCCG
rnacentral:rRNA from 1 species